UACGAAGGGGGCUAGCGUUGCUCGGAAUUACUGGGCGUAAAGGGUGCGUAGGCGGGUCUUUAAGUCAGGGGGGAAAUCCUGGAGCUCAACUCCAGAACUGCCUUUGAUACUGAGGAUCUUGAGUUCGGGAGAGGUGAGUGGAACUGCGAGUGUAGAGGUGAAAUUCGUAGAUAUUCGCAAGAACACCAGUGGCGAAGGCGGCUCACUGGCCCGAUACUGACGCUGAGGCACGAAAGCGUGGGGAGCAAACAGG
rnacentral:rRNA from 1 species